rnacentral:rRNA from 1 species
AGCAGUAGCCGCGGGAAUACAGAGGGUGCGAGCGUUAAUCGGAUUUACUGGGCGUAAAGCGUGCGUAGGCGGCUUCUUAAGUCGGAUGUGAAAUCCCUGAGCUUAACUUAGGAAUUGCAUUCGAUACUGGGAAGCUAGAGUAUGGGAGAGGAUGGUAGAAUUCCAGGUGUAGCGGUGAAAUGCGUAGAGAUCUGGAGGAAUACCGAUGGCGAAGGCAGCCAUCUGGCCUAAUACUGACGCUGAGGUACGAAAGCAUGGGGAGCAAACAGGAUUAGAUACCCCAGUAGUCCCUGUCCUUAUACA